CUUCUAAUGAUGAGAACUGUGUCCAGUUCUGCUGCUGAGGGGGAAGCGAUGACAUCGUAUUGUGCUGAGGAAG
ensembl:snoRNA small nucleolar RNA, C/D box 38A